rnacentral:rRNA from 1 species
AUUGAACGCUGGCGGCAGGCCUAACACAUGCAAGUCGAACGAGUGGCGGACGGGUGAGUAAUGCCUGGGAAACUGCCUGAUGGAGGGGGAUAACUACUGGAAACGGUAGCUAAUACCGCAUACCAUCGGAUGUGCCCAGAUGGGAUUAGCUAGUAUGUGGGGUAAAGGCUCACCUAGGCGACGAUCCCUAGCUGGUCUGAGAGGAUGACCAGCCACAAUGGAACAGAGACACGGUCCAGACUCCAACGUGGGGCAGCAGUGGGGAAUAUUGCCCAAUGGGCACAAGCCGGAUGCAGCCAAGCCGCGUGUGUGAAGAAGGCCUUCGGGUUGUAAAGCACUUUCAGCGGGGAGGCUUUACCCGCAGAAAAAGCACCGGCUAACUCCGUGCCAGCAGCCGCGGUAAUUC